rnacentral:tRNA from 3 species
GCGGAUGUGGUGGAAUGGUAGACACGCACGCUUGAGGGGCGUGUGGAGCAAUCCAUGCGAGUUCGAGUCUCGCCAUCCGCA